rnacentral:rRNA from 1 species
UACGUAGGGUGCGAGCGUUGUCCGGAAUUAUUGGGCGUAAAGAGCUUGUAGGCGGUUUGUCGCGUCUGCUGUGAAAAUCCGGGGCUCAACCCCGGACUUGCAGUGGGUACGGGCAGACUAGAGUGUGGUAGGGGAGACUGAAAUUCCUGGUGUAGCGGUGAAAUGCGCAGAUAUCAGGAGGAACACCGAUGGCGAAAGGCAGGUCUCUGGGCCACUACUGACGCUGAGAAGCGAAAGCAUGGGGAGCGAACAGG